UUUUUUUUUUUUUUUAAGAUUUUAUUUAUUUAUUCAUGAGAGACACAGAGAGAGAGGCAGAGACAAGGGCAGAGGGGAGAAGCAGGCUCCACACAGAGAGUCCGAAAUGGGACUCGAUCCCGGUACUGGGAUCACAUCCUGAGGCAAAGGCAGACAGCCACCCAGGUGUCCCCAAAUAUUACUGUCCUUUUAAACCCCACCUGCUCUGUCAAAUUAAGAGUUCCUUAAAACAAUGAUACAAAGUAAUACAGAACAUAUCCAGUGCCCACAAUGUAACUUGUAAAUAGCCACUAAGAGGAACGAGGUCCACAGAGAAACAGCCAUCUAUUUCCAGGUUUAUGGUAAGAAACACAUAAAGGUUAAGAAUGGAACAUUUUGUUGUGCCAGAAAGCAAAUAAGUGCUCUAAAAGUAAUGGGACAUAUCACAGAGACACAAAAACUAGACUGAAUCAGUCCCAUUGGCUAAAUUUUAAUAAUUUGAAUCUUCAAAAGAAAUAUAACAAUAAUGAUUUUAAUUCACUGAAUAGAAUUCAUGACCCCACCACAAUAAUGUAAAAAGGAGAGUAGAAACUUCUUUACAGAAGAAUGGCAGCUAAUAAAUGUGGGAAGAAUAGAAUUAAAAAAUCAUUUUGCAAGCAUCAAUGUAAUCAAUGAUUCAAGCAAAAAUCAACAAUGAAUGUUAAAAUCAUUGAGUAAAAGGUUCUCAAGAAACAAUAUUUAUUCAGCCUCCAGGCACGGACUAAUUACCAAAAAGAAAAAGAUACCUUUACAAGGGAGAAAUCUGGCAGCUUUAGCUAACCCAAAUAAUCCAGUUUAAGGUCACAAAUAAUGGAACUAGUAAUGCAGAAGUUAAAAUAAGCAAACUUUAAGUACAUACAUAUAUCAACAAUAGAUAAUCUUGAUACAAGCAAAGUGAAAAAGCAAAGUAUUAAAUAAUUACAUUUUAAAACUAAAUCAAUAUUAGUAUUUUUAUGCAAAUGUGUGCAUUAACAAUAGGUAACUUCAGAGUAGUAAUUACCUCUUACAAGAAAGACAAAAGAAUAAGAUCAGUAAUCUUCAAUUGUAUUUUUAUUUAAGAAGUUCUAAAGCAAUUAUAGCAAAAUGUUAAUAUUUGUCAAUUUUGACAGUUUGGAUACAUGAGCAUUUUAAAUUCCUCCCUAUAUUUUUUAUAUUUUUAAGUUAUCUCAUAAUUUAGAAAUUUCAAACUGCAAGCGAAUUGCUGUUAUACAAAUCUUAGUUCUAUAUAGCUAUACAAUGCUUAGUUCUGUGAUUCCUGGUGUUUAAAACUAUUGUUUCGAACAACUUCGACUUAGAAGCAGCCUCCCCACCUCAAACUCUUUCUACUUUAAUCUCUGAUGUAAACUAAUAGGAGCAAAUCAGCACUCGCAAGCGGUCCUAAUAAGCAAAAUGCAUUUCAUUUACUUAAAUAAAAGAUAACUUGGAAGGUAUGCCAUCUAAGUGGUAUGAAGUUUAAUACCACCUAACUCAUAUGGCUCUCAAUAUAUAUCAACAUUUGGAGAACUGAAAAGUCUAUCCAUUCUAAUAAUUCACAUUUUUUUUCAAUCAUUUGGCCUACCUCUACAAAACCAUCCUAUUAAAAUUAUGUUAAAUACCAAUCGAUUAAGUCUAUUUUUUAAAAAUCUACUGUUGUAAAAUUGGUGCAGAAAAAAAAUUAACUCAAAAAUUUUAAGUGACUUGAUAAGUGAGUUCUUCAUCACAUUCCUUAUAAUGCUUUAAUCCAUUCGUAAAAACUUUCUAUUUUCUGUUUAAGAGAAGGUCAAUGGCUUUCACUUCACUACUCUAACAUAAUCAUGAAUUGAAAUAAGAACUCUUAGCUCUUUGGACCGACAAAGCUACCAGUAUGCCUAAGCCAAUAAAGCGAUUCGUUCAUUAAUGCUGCUAAUAAAGCAACCUUUUGUUAGUCUAUGAAACAUCAGAAACCUCAGAGAUUCUAACUUUGCAAUUUUUCCCUCUUUACCAUAUGAACUUAAAAGUUCUCUUAUAAGCCAUUUAUUUUAACAACUAAGACAUAAUCAUCUAGAAAUCUGACUUUCCACUCUAGGUAAUUUAAUAACAUAUUAGUUCGAGCUUCAGAAAACUGUUCCUAAAUGAAACUACUUAUAUUUAAUUAUUCUCUUCUAUUUUCCCAUAGAGCCGAUCUUUGUAGAAAUCUGUGCCAUCUUCUAAUAAAUACCUUAAGGAACAACCCCUGUAAUUUUCUCAAAAAUGAAAAACAAAAAUGUUCCUUUACACAAUAAGUAUUAAUCAGUCAACUACAGUAAGCAACACAUGAAAGAUACUACAAAGAUUAAUAUACAAUCCCUGUCCUCAAGCAACUGAAUUUAAGAAAUAAAACAAGCAUCUAGAAAAAUUACUAUAAGGUAGCUUACAAUAAUAUUAACUACUAAAUGUAACGCCAUGAAGGAUAUAAUUAAUUGAGAUGAGACGAGAUAAAAAGUCUUCAAUGAGGAGACUUUUGAGGCGAAAUAAAAAAUAUAUAUUUUAGGCUUAAAUAGCUUAUAUGCAAAAUGAGGCACAUAAAACAUGGUAAAUGUGGAAAUUUUUAAUCAACUUAGUAAGGCUAGAAUGUAUCAUGAAUCUGAAGAAUUAGUAGGACAUGUUCUUGAAGUACUUUUGGAUUUGGACUUUUUUCCAUGCAAUGGGCAGACAUUAAAGGAUUAUAAGAAAAGCUAGAUGGUAUUCAGAUUUUUUUUUUUUAAAGAAAGGUCAUUCCUGAGGUACCCUGAAUGCCUAAAAGCUUUAUAUAUUAUGAAAUUAUUGAAAACAGAAGCUUUUGGGCACUGGACGCCUCAGGAGUACACAAUACUAUAUUUUCAUAUGUGAUUCAUGCCUGAUAGUUAUGUAUCUAUUUAUUAUGUGCUCCCAAUUAACUUUUAGCAUUGUCUAAGUAAUUGCUAAUGAAAGAGAAGUAUCAGUCAAUAAGCAAAAUAUUGAUUCCAGUAAUUGGCAUUUUAAACCCCUUCAAAAUACUAGAAAAACAUUAGGUUUCAUGAACUGUUAAGUCAUAUUACUGAUCAAUUUUAAGAGUUUCAGAUAAAGAGACUGCAGUUAGAAUUUAGAGAAUAAAUUAUAAGACUUAUCUCACUAUAAUCCUUACUAUAAACAUCCACAGUACUCUCUCCCUUGAACCUUUGCUUUCUUCCAAGUACUAUCUCUUAUGCCUACUACCCUACCCUCCUCUCAGGAGCUACCUUGGGAACUCAAUGCCCAUGUGACCCUGGGCUAGAGUGAACCAAUCCAAUUAGAUCCAGCCACACUAGAGAGUCUUAUUAAUGCUUUAACUUAGGACUCAAAAAUUAACCAGAAUCUCUCCAGAGGCUGAUAAAUUCUAGGGUGACUGGCUGGCUCAGUCGGCAGAGCAUGCAACUCUUAAUCUCGGAGUUGUGAGUUAAGCCCUACAUUGGGCAGAGAAAUUACUUUAAAAAGUAAAUAAAUAAAUAAAAACUAAUUUUUAAAAAAAGAAAUUGUGACUGACUCUUUACACAAGUUUUAUAUCAUAUGAAAAGAGCCAGUCUGCACUGAAAAACAUGAAGAAAAAAAACCUUAUUAUAUGAUUCUAUUUUAUAUAUGUUUAAAAUUUUUGACAUGAAAAGGCUUUUUAAAUCAGAAAGUUAUGAAGACAUAUAAAAAGCACCAAUGUUCUCACCAUUGGCUUAAUAAAUAAAAUCUUACCAAUAUAAUUCCUUACCUUUGUGAACCAUAUCCUAAUUCCACACACCAAUGCCCCCAACAACCACUACCCUGAAUCCCUUUCCACUUUUAAACAUUCUCCAAAUAUCAAUCUAAAGGUCACUUCCUUGGGAGAAAAGAAGACUUUUCCCCUAAAGAAGUGACUUUUAGAUUGAUAUUUGCAGAAUGUUUAAAAACGAAGAGGGAUUCAGGAUAGUGGUUGGUGGCGGAAGCGGACGUGGAAUCAGGGUGUGGUUCACAAGGGAAAAGAAUUACAUUGGUAAGAUCUUUAUUUAGUAAAUCAGUAGUGAGACUAUAGAUGCUUGCAUGUAUUCAUAACUUCCAGAUUUCCAAAACAAAACAAAAAAAUCUUUUCAUGUGGAAAAUUUUAAACAUACACAAAAUACUCUAAUAGAUUCCUAUGUAUCUAUUACCCAACUUCAACAUCCAUCAUAAUCCUGCCACUCGUUUCAUCUAUACCCUCCACUUCCUGCCACUCAACUCAAUUGUUACUUUUAUAUUUUUUAGGUAAAAUUUACAUAGGCUGAAAUAUAUACUCAUCUAUCCAACUCUGACAAAUAGAUAAGCUUGUAUGACCCACAGCUCUAAUGAACAUUUGCAUCACUUCAGGAAACACUUACGCCCCUUCCCAGCUGAGCACUGGUACUUCCCACAACCCAAAGACUAGGACCACUGUUCAAUAUUUUGAAUUCUUUCACCAAAGACUAGGUUUGCCUGUUCUACUAGAACUUAAUAAAUGAAAUCAUACUGCAGGGUGUCCAGCAUCUUUCUCAAGUGUUUUGUGAGAUUCCUCCAGGUCAUUUUACAUAUGCUCUUUCUUUUUUAUUACUGAGUAGAAUAUACCAGAACAUUUCAAUCAAUUAUCCAUCCUAGGAACUGACAGGAUGUUCCCAGUGGUUAGCUAUUAUAAAUAAAUCUACUAUAAAAAUUCUUGAAAAAGGCUUUUUGUAAACAUGUUUUCAUCUCUCUUGGGAAAAUACUCAGGAGAACUGCUGGAUCCAAAGGUAGGUGUAUGCUUGAACUUAUAUAAAAAUCCCAAAUGGUUUUCCAAAGUGGUUUUACCAGUUUAUACAUAUACCAGCAAUUUAUGGGAGUUCUAGCAGUCUUACUGCAAUUUGCUAUUGCAGUCUUUUUUAUUUUAGUCCGUAUAGUUGCAGUAUUUUUAAUUUUAGUCCAUAUAGUUGGUCUGUAUAGUUAUCUCAUGGUUUCAAUUUGCAUUUACCCAAUAACUAAUGUUUAUGACUUUGAUACAUAUUAAAAAUUGUUUUUUGUUUUGUUUUUUUUUAAGGAGAGGAGCAUACUGACAUAGGAAAUAACAAGAGCAAAUGCUCUGAAGGAAUCGAUAUAGCAUAUUUAGACCAAGAGGCCAGUGUGGCUAGAGCAAGGAAUAAAAAGGAAAUUGCAUGAGAUAAGGCCAUAUACAUAGUCAAAUCACAUGGAUGGAGAUUAUCCUAAAUUCAGAUUUAGACUCCUCUGAGAUUGCUAAGUAGAAUUAUGAAAUAAGAUUGGAACUCAGAUAAGUAAGGGCUAGAGUAACAGAUAUGUAAUUCCCUCCAUAAGUGGAAUUCAAAGUGCUGAGACUGAAUGGUGAAAAAAAAAAAAAAAAAAAAAAAAAAAAAA
rnacentral:lncRNA from 1 species